rnacentral:misc_RNA from 1 species
GUUUGAAGAGCAGGAGGAAUCGCCUCCGAACUCCCCCUCUGCCGCCGACGACCUCGAAGUUCCGACCAAUGUUGCCCCUGUUCCUGCCGACGCUUUUGAUUUGCAAGACGGCGACGAUGAUCCAAAAUCCGCUGCUGUUGCUACACAUUCCGCUACUCCUGCAACCACCGCUUCUAUGUUUGUUUCCUCUUCCUCCAAUGUCUCUG